rnacentral:pre_miRNA from 1 species
CGUGCACCAGGGGGAUCCCUUGGCCUGGCCUGUGGGAUUGGGCUGAAACCUGCUCUCCGACAUCCCUGAGGGGUCCUGGAUUGCAGGAGGGCACAGGCCAGGCCAAGGGACCCCACUGGUGCACA